UACGAAGGGUGCAAGCGUUACUCGGAAUUACUGGGCGUAAAGCGUGCGUAGGCGGUUUGUUAAGUCCGUUGUGAAAGCCCUGGGCUCAACCUGGGAAUUGCAGUGGAUACUGGCGAGCUAGAGUGCGGUAGAGGAUGGUGGAAUUCCCGGUGUAGCGGUGAAAUGCGUAGAGAUCGGGAGGAACACCAGUGGCGAAGGCGACUUCCUGGCCUGUUCUUGACGCUGAGGCGCGAAAGCUAGGGGAGCAAACGGG
rnacentral:rRNA from 1 species